GACGAACGCUGGCGGCGUGCUUAACACAUGCAAGUCGAACGGGAUCCACUGGGCUUUUGUUUGGUGGUGAGAGUGGCGAACGGGUGAGUAAUGCGUGACUAACCUGCCGUAUGGUUGGGGAUAGCUCCUGGAAACGGGUGGUAAUACCCAAUGCUCCAGCUGGAUGCAUGUCUGGUUGGGAAAGCUGUUGUGCCAUAUGAUGGGGUCGCGUCCUAUCAGCUUGUUGGUGGGGUGAUGGCCUACCAAGGCGUCGACGGGUAGCCGGCCUAAGAGGGCGACCGGCCACAUUGGGACUGAGAUACGGCCCAGACUCCUACGGGAGGCAGCAGUGGGGAAUAUUGCACAAUGGGCGCAAGCCUGAUGCAGCGACGCCGCGUGCGGGAUGGAGGCCUUCGGGUUGUAAACCGCUUUUAUAGGGGGGCAAAGCUAUGCCUGUGUGGUGUGGUGAGUGGACUUUAUGAAUAAGCACC
rnacentral:rRNA from 1 species